rnacentral:sRNA from 1 species
GCGAAAACCCUUUGAAGAAGAAAAAGAUCAGACAAAAUGAAAAUUAGGGUUUCCUUUUUCUUCUCUGCGUCGGUGCUGGCUUCGUCUUUUGCUUGUACGGCGUCGUCUCUCCCCAAUGACUAUGAGAUAUAGAACGGCGUCGUUACAUUAGAGUGGGGCCAGUGGGCCAAUUAUGUGUAAUUUCCUUUUCUUUUUUUUUGUUUGGUAAGAACUUCCAAUUUGAUACAAAGAUACCUGCCCCGCAAAUUUGGAAAGGCCCAUUAAAAGAUUAUGUACGCAGGAAAGAAACGAUGACGUUUUUACAAAUGUGUUAAAUGUUUGACUAUUUUUGAUAUAAAAAAAAAGUCAAACAAAAUCUCAACAGGUCCGUUCAUAUAAUAUACUUGUAUCAUCA